rnacentral:rRNA from 1 species
GAUGAACGCUGGCGGCGUGCCUAAUACAUGCAAGUCGAGCGAACAGACGAGGAGCUUGCUCCUCUGACGUUAGCGGCGGACGGGUGAGUAACACGUGGAUAACCUACCUAUAAGACUGGGAUAACUUCGGGACACCGGCGCUAAUACCGGAUAAUAUAUUGAACCGCAUGGUUCAAUAGUGAAAGACGGUUUUGCUGUCACUUAUAGAUGGAUCCGCGCCGCAUUAGCUAGUUGGUAAGGUAACGGCUUACCAAGGCAACGAUGCGUAGCCGACCUGAGAGGGUGAUCGGCCACACUGGAACUGAGACACGGUCCAGACUCCUACGGGAGGCAGCAGUAGGGAAUCUUCCGCAAUGGGCGAAAGCUUGACGGAGCAACGCCGCGUGAGUGAUGAAGUUCUUCGGAUCGUAAAACUCUGUUAUUAGGGAAGAACAAAUGUGUAAGUAACUAUGCACGUCUUGACGGUACCUAAUCAGAAAGCCACGGCUAACUACGUG